UUCUCUCUUCGAUCUUUCCCUUUCUUCUCUCACAUCCUCUUCUUUUGGUUCUUCUUCGGCCUCCAUCUCUCUUCUUCUUCUUCUUCUUCUUCUCUUCUACUUUCUUCUUCUUCUUCUUCUAUUUUUGUUUUCUUCUUCCUCCUCUUAGUGUUGCUCUCUUUUUCAUUUUCUUUUUCCCUGCACUUUUUCUUCCUCAUCUUUCGACAUCUCUCUCAUGUUCUUACAUUUCCUCACUCAUCUUUCUUCUCCUUUUUCUUUUAUUCUCUCUCUUCUUCUUUUUUUGCAUCUUCUUCUUCUAUUUCUUAUUUCUCUUUUACUUCUCUCAAAUUCUCAUUUUACUAUUGUUUUCAUUUUUCAGGCUAAAACCACAUGGAAGACAAAAUGGAAACCUCCGAACCUUCAAAACCGAACCAAAGCCCAGGAUUCACAAAUAAGUUGCAAAUUGAAGAUUAUUGGCACACUUCUAUUUUUUUUUUUCUGGUUUUUUUUUUCUUUCAUUUUAUAUACAACUUAUUCCCUUGUAUUUUCAUUUUCUCUGUAUUUUCUACUUUUUUUUUUUGGUAUUUUUGCAUUUUAUGAAAUGAAUAUUCUAUUUAUGUUGUUUUGGUUACAUGAGGCCCCGAACAAUUUGGGGUGUCCACAACUUUGUAUCCUUAUAUGAAUUGGCUCAAUUUCCAUCUUA